rnacentral:rRNA from 1 species
AUUGAACGCUGGCGGUAUGCUUAAGACAUGCAAGUCGUGCGGUAGAAGGCUUCGGCCUUUGAGAGCGGCGGACGGGUGAGUAACACGUGGGAAUCUGCCUAUUAGUGGGGGACAGCCCAGCGAAAGCUGGAUUAAUACCGCAUACGCCCUACCGGGGAAAGGACAGCAAUGCGCUAAUAGAUGAGCCCGCGUAAGAUUAGCUAGUUGGUAAGGUAAAGGACGUUACCAAGGCGACGAUCUUUAGCUGGUCUGAGAGGAUGGCCAGCCACAUCGGGACUGAGACACGGCCCGGACUCCUACGGGAGGCAGCAGUCGGGAAUAUUGGACAAUGGGCGCAAGCCUGAUCCAGCAAUACCGCGUGUGUGAAGAAGGCCUGCGGGUUGUAAAGCACUUUC